GACGAACGCUGGCGGCGUGCUUAACACAUGCAAGUCGAACGGAAAGGCCCUGCUUUUGUGGGGUGCUCGAGUGGCGAACGGGUGAGUAACACGUGAGUAACCUGCCCUUGACUUUGGGAUAACUUCAGGAAACUGGGGCUAAUACCGGAUAGGAGCUCCUGCUGCAUGGUUGGGUUUGGAAAGUUUCGGCGGUUGGGGAUGGACUCGCGGCUUAUCAGCUUGUUGGUGGGGUAGUGGCUUACCAAGGCUUUGACGGGUAGCCGGCCUGAGAGGGUGACCGGCCACAUUGGGACUGAGAUACGGCCCAGACUCCUACGGGAGGCAGCAGUGGGGAAUAUUGCACAAUGGGCGGAAGCCUGAUGCAGCAACGCCGCGUGCGGGAUGACGGCCUUCGGGUUGUAAACCGCUUUCGCCUGUGACGAAGCGUGAGUGACGGUAAUGGGUAAAGAAGCACCGGCUAACUACGUG
rnacentral:rRNA from 1 species